AGGUAAUGGAUUCAUUCUUAGAGAUUCUUACUAUUGAUCAAAUGGCUGUACCGAGGGGCCAAUUGAAGUCAUGUUUUCUGCCAACAUUUGGUUCGGAACUUAUGAAAUGUAGGGACGAAGUUGGAAAAGUUGCCAUGUAUGUUGAAGUGGUUUUGAAGAAUUUGCAAGAGAACGAUUUACUGUUUAUUCCAAUUAUUCAUGUCAAAGAGGAACAUUUUACAUUGUUAGUCUUGAACAAACAAAGUGGCUGUGGGACUACUACAAUAAUUUACAACCAAAUGAUAGCACAACUACUGACCCUUACUUGGAUGAUGCAUUAAAAUUAUGCUGAUGCUGGGGUUGCUGUGAUGUACAUGAUCAAAACGCUAUCUGAAGGAAAGGCAUUGGAGAACGUAUUCCCUAUUGGAGCAAUGAAGAAUAUGAGAGUACAUGUGCUUGGGAAGUUCAUAAACGAUGAAGAUGGAUGUUGGGAUGCAUACAGAAUAAACUAGAUUGCUUUCUGUUUUAAUGGUGUUUUUCAUUUAUUAGUGUUUUCCAUUUAAUGGAUGUUGGGAUGCGUACUAUAUUUUCUCAUGUUUGAUCAUUUUUAAUGAUUUUCAUUUUCAUUUGUUGGAGAAUGGAGAAUGUU